rnacentral:rRNA from 1 species
UACAGAGGGUGCGAGCGUUGUCCGGAAUCACUGGGCGUAAAGGGCGCGUAGGCGGCCCGGUAAGGUUGCGGUGAAAGCCCGGGGCUCAACCCCGGGUCGGCCGUGGCAACUGCUGGGCUGGAGCACAGUAGAGGCGGGUGGAAUUCCGGGUGUAGCGGCGGAAUGCGUAGAGAUCCGGAAGAACACCAGUGGCGAAGGCGGCCCGCUGGGCAGUGGCUGACGCUGAGGCGCGACAGCGUGGGGAGCAAACAGG